CUGUCCUACACUCUAUAUUUGGUUUGCCGUUCAAAAACGGAAAUAUAAAGAGACUGGUGGAAAAACCGAACCAAGAACAAAAACAAAUCCAGAAUCCAGAAUUAGAAAUUUGUGUUGAGAGACAGUCAUCUGACAGCCAACAGAAUGGGGAAUGAAAUAAUCCAGUUCCACAAUUGCUUCAUUUUGCGAGAUGGGAAAAUCAUUAAAGAGGACCUGUGGACCUGUGAUGGCAAAAUUGUCAAUCCAGAACCCAUUUUCUUUGACCAAAAGGACUACGCUGACAUAAAAAUUGAUUGUGAAGGGCUUACGAUUGCUCCAGGAUUCAUAGAUGUACAAGUAAAUGGUGGCUUUGGUGUGGAUUUUUCUCACGAUAGUGAAACCAUUGAGGAAGGCUUGAAAGUGGUAGCUAAAGGACUUUUGGCUUAUGGUACUACUUCAUUUUGUCCUACACUGGUUACCUCAUCACCUAAAUAUUAUCACCAGGUUGUAGAAAAAAUUAAGAAAACUCCAGGAGGUUCUGACGGAGCAGAAAUCCUUGGCAUACAUGUUGAGGGACCUUUUAUCAAUAAUGAUAAAAAGGGUGCACAUGACUUGCAAUUUAUUCACAAGUUCACCAAUGGAGCCAGUUCUAUUGAAGAAGUAUAUGGAAAGCACUGGAGGAAUAUCUCAAUGAUCACUCUAGCUCCUGAGCUGGAAAAUUCAACAGAAGUUAUUAAAUACUUAACCAGUAAUGGUGUGACAGUUUCGCUGGGCCAUUCAAUGGGUAGCCUUAUUCAGGGAGAAGAAGCAGUAAGAAAUGGUGCCUCCUUUAUCACUCAUCUUUUUAACGCCAUGUUGCCUUUCCAUCACCGAGAUCCUGGGCUGAUCGGGUUGCUAGCCUCUUCGAAAAUUCCACCCGGAAAAACUGUUUAUUACGGAAUUAUCGCUGAUGGAAUCCACACUCAUCCAGCAGCGCUUCGCAUUGCCUACAGAACUCAUCCUAAAGGACUCGUUUUAGUAACCGAUGCGAUGUCGGCGCUCGGCUUGCAACCUGGACAAUACAAACUCGGUUACCAGGACGUUGAUGUCAAGGAAAACUGUGCCGUGUUGGCUGGGACCACCACAUUGUGUGGAGCGAUAGCCUCGAUGGAUAAAUGCGUCCGUCACUUGAAGCGCGCUACAGAGUGCUCUACUGUUGAAGCUCUGGAAGCAGCUACUUUGCAUCCAGCUUGCGCCUUAGGCAUUAACGAUCGCAAAGGGUCUCUUCUCUUUGGGCGCGAUGCCGAUUUUGUCAUUCUCGAUCACGACCUCAAUGUCGUUUCCACCUGGAUUGCCUCACAGAAAGUUUAUCAAAAUCCUGCCGCUGUGGAACUGACUUCUCGGAGAAUAACCAAGCAAUAGGUUUAAUUACUUUAGUCUUAUUUUUGGGCUAGUUGGGAUUUUGGAGAGGUAUGCAGUUCAGUGUUAUUGCAAGCCACCAAAUUGAGAGAUGUCAAGCAGUUGACAAGACUUUUCCCAUAAUUUUUUCUGGGUGUCGCGAUUGCGAACCAGUUUUAUCGGCUCGACUGCUUUGGAAUUUUCAAAAUAAUUCCCACUCAAGUCUUCCACUUGCGGCGAUAAAGCAGCGUGAACCACCCGUUGAGCGCCCUGUUCUUCAGUCUACAUAAAAUACAGUUAAAGAUAACCAAUAUUCGCGAACCAAUGUUGAGUCCAUAAAGCAGAUCUUAUAAUUCCAGGGUGAAUGGCAUAAAUUUUUACGGGAUAAUUCUUAAGAGACAAGCGCUCAUGCAAGACCUUGGUGAACAUGAUUAUUGCAGAUUUCGAUUGAGAAUAGGCGCAUAAUUUGUUAAAGUAAGACCUGAAUGGAACGGAAUUCAAACAUAAUAAUUAUUAUCCAGAAAUGAUCCAGCAAUGUGAUUACUUGGCCUGAAGGUCGUCUAUUUCAAACCACCCGAAGGCAUGGCCUAUCGAAGAAAGACAAACGAUCCUUGCUGCUUUAUUUUCCGUUCCUGCCUCUAUGAGGCGUGGCAAAAGGAGAUGCGUUAAUAGAAAGUGGCCUAAAUAGUUCACAGCAAAUUGCGUCUCGAAACCAUCCUUUGUCAAGGCGUAAGGUGACAUGGUUCCAGCUUAAGCACAACAGAUGGAUUAUAUCCGACAUUUAGUAAACCGUAUAAUUUAAAAUGAAUGAGACAGAGUCUAACCGUUGUUGAUUAAAAGACUAAUGGGGAUAUUUUUAUCGAGAACCGCCUUCCCAAACGUUCGAACACAAUCCAUCGACGAUAGAUCUAGAUUAAUCCAUUCUACAGAUCCAGUUGGAAAUCCGGCAUCCUUGAUUGAUUCGUAUAAUUGAUCCUUGCACGGGCCAUCUCUACAACCUAUCACGGAAGAUUUUUAUUAGCACCUAGAAAGGAAUCUUUAGUGGCGAAAUAUUUUUAAAACACUUACCAACAAUCACUUUCAUUCCAGAUUUGACUAACGCCUUUAUGGUGAACCAUCCUAUUCCCUGAUUUCCACCUGUGAUGACGGCAUAUUCCUCUUCUCUUUUUAAAGGGUCUGCAUGAAAGUAAAAAAAUCGCAAAAGACGUUAGUAAAAUAUAAUUAGAGAUAACAGUGAUUGGACUCGGAGCAAGAGCAGUACUCCAGUACUAUUCACGAAUUUCGUUACUGAAAAUUCGGAUGCAACGUGGGAAAUCAGAUCACGCGGAAAAUCAGAAAGAUUCCGCUAACGACUUUACGGUGGACCAUCCUAUCCCGCGAUUUCCACCUGUGACGACGACGUAUUCAUUUUCUCUGUUUAUAGGAUCUCACAUUUCAGAAAUCAAACUACAGCUGCCGAGGAUUAGCAUUUUUAGAAAUAUGUAGAAAUCCAGAAAAAUCUUUUUUAUGAAAUUCAUUUUCAAAAAGAAUCAGAUCUAGCUGUAGAAAAAAAAAACCGGCGGUAAGACUGGGAUAAAAUUUAAAUAUUGCUAAUAAUUCAACGUACGGAGACAGACCUAGUGUUUCAAGAGAUGAAUGCUGGAAUCAAAUGUCCAAUAUAUUCUGCUCAGUUACUAUCACUGGUAAGCUCCGAGUGCUGUUCGCUUGGUUAAAUGUUUUCUCGGAAGCUAUUUCAAAUCUAACCCCUAGGCCGAAAAUGAAAAAUGACCAGAGCAAACGAGAAGGUUGCCUUCCUUAAAUGAGAUUAUGAGAAGGGCUUUUCUUCUUUAUCGUUUGUCUAAGAAAUAUGAAACGGCACAAACUCCAGAUGUUCUCGCUUCUUUCUACCAGAAAGGACAACUAACGAUAUUAUUUUGAUAGUGUUGCUAUUUCAUAAACCUAAUUAUCAAGUUUCACUGAGCUGCUUGCGGAGCUGUCAAUUUGGAUUAACGAAAUUUGAUUUAAGCAUUUUUGCGUUUUUAUUGGUGACGCUUUUCUUCCUAUAAAACCAGUAAAUAUAUGAAAUAUCUUUGUAUAUUCUCGUUCCCGUUUUGUUUUCCUUUUUUUUUACUAACCUGAAAUCUAAAGUUUUGUUUCCAUUCUCUGGCAACAGUGUUUUCAUGUUUAUGUUUUUACAUAGUUUCGAGUUUUGACUUUGAAAAUUAGUAGAAUUUCAAUUUGUUCUCUUAUAACCUGCUUAUAACAGCGUAAAUCGACGUGGUUAUGGUUACCAUGAAAAUGACCUGUUUUUAAUAUUUACCCAUCAGUGAAGUUGCAACAUUAUGUAGGUAAGAUGCACACAUUUUAUAAUCAAUUUCCAUUUUCCGCCAUCCCUAGACAUUUUGUUUUUAAGUUUAUGCAAGUUCUUAAGCCUUUAGUUGAACCGAACAGGCCAUUUAGACCGAUCUGAUUAGACAACUACUCAAAAUGUAUGAACAUGUUCUGUAGUUAUAAUAUUAUAUACCUCUGUGGUCAUUGAAUUGGAAAGCUUUGCAAAUAGAUACAUGACUCAGACAUUCAGCCGAUUCAGGCCAGCAACACUCAGCCCAAUGGCCUCAAAGACCUUUAUCAAGACCUUGAGUCAUUAAUCAAACCGUAUGUUUUAAAAAUGUUUUAUCUUUUUUCAGCAUGAAUUACAUCAUUCAGCUAUUUAAUAAGAUAUCUUAAGCAUUUGGCAUGAAGCUUCAUAAUUUUAAAUUAUUGAUGUGCAGUGUAAAUAUUGUAGGUACUGAAGAACCGAUAAAAUUUUUUCUGUUUAUUGAUUAUCCCAGAUACAGUAUACUGAAUUAUAACCAAUUAAAAUUGGAAAAACAGGGAAAACAGAAUGGA